UACGUAGGGGGCAAGCGUUAUCCGGAAUUAUUGGGCGUAAAGAGUGCGUAGGUGGUUUUGUAAGCGCGGGGUGAAAGGCAAUAGCUCAACUAUUGUAAGCCCUGCGAACUGUGAGACUUGAGUGCAGGAGAGGAAAGUGGAAUUCCUAGUGUAGCGGUGAAAUGCGUAGAUAUUAGGAGGAACACCAGUGGCGAAGGCGACUUUCUGGACUGUAACUGACACUGAGGCACGAAAGCGUGGGGAGCAAACAGGAUUAGAUACCCUGGUAGUCCACGCCGUAAACGAUGAGCACUAGGUGUCGGGGCCGCAAGGUUUCGGUGCCGCAGUUAACGCAUUAAGUGCUCCGCCUGGGGAGUACGCACGCAAGUGUGAA
rnacentral:rRNA from 1 species